rnacentral:misc_RNA from 1 species
CCAUGGUGAAGAGAAGAUUUGUUUGGGUUUAUGCAUCAAUUCAAUUUGCUUUGGUGGUUCUCUUUGCACAUAUUUUUUACUCAUUGGUCGACUUGCAAGCAGUUCUAUGCAUCCUUCUAGCAACAUUUGCUGGAUUUGGAGUAGCAAUGAGUGGGAGUUCUAUACUGGUUGAGAUCUUGAGAUGGAGGAGAAGAUGGAAUGCUCAAUCAGAUCAAUUGUACGGUUCCUAUGUGAUGACGGGACCAGGCCAAUUCCCAAGAACCGUAAAUUCUUCGGAAAGAGGUUCUCAUCAUCGCCGCCGAAAUGAAGCAGAGAACACAGAAACUUUCAGUGGAAGUUAAAAAUCAAUUUAUAGUUUAGUUUAGCUAAAUGGAAAGUAUUGUGGCUAAAUUGUGCCGCCUUCAUCUAGAUGAUGCACAAUUGGCUUUGUAAUAUACUCAAAAGUAGGAUAAUUUUUUGUUCAACCAAAUUAUGCUAGAAUAUCAAAAACCCACAGGUCUUAUCUUUGAAACAAACUUAUGAUCAUAGGACUUAUGAUCGUAAGCUGAGUAUUGUAUGUUUCACAUGUUACUUCUCUGGAUUGGAAAUAGUUUAAACAAGUGAAUACAACUUCAUAUUUU